GGAUCGUUAGCUCAGCGGUAGAGCAGGCGACUCUUAAUCGCUCGGUCGAGGGUUCGAAUCCCCCACGGUCCA
rnacentral:tRNA from 2 species